CUUCUAUCCCUCUCCCUCUCUCUCUCUCCCUCCUCAUUCUUAUAUCUUCUUUGGCACAAACGCUUUUUUUUUUUUUGGGUGCACAAACUGCUCCUCAGAUCUCCGUUCAUAGCGAUUGCCCUUCAGAUUACACGGAUGAUGAAAGAUCUCACCUAUUUCUCGGCAAUCAGAGUUGUAGAAACGCCAAAAAUCUCACGAUUUCAGAUCUCUGUCUAUUGGUGUCAAAUCUCACCACCACAUCUCCUCAACCAGAUUGUUUGGCCAAAUUUGCUCAAUCGUCCAUGUCUGGUUCUUUAUGAUGUUGUUUUUGCUAAACUCUAAAUUUAUUCUUUCUGUCACACUUCGGCUUUCAGAUGGGGUUUGAAGUAGCAAGGAAACCCCAUGUAACUUCUGCCCACUAGCUCUAUAGUAGAUAGCAAUAAAAUAUGUUUUUAGUUAGUACACUUUCUUUAUGCAGUUUUUAGUAUUUCAAGUUGAUGGGUUUCUUCAACUUCAAAGACUUAUGAAAUGGUUUAUUAGGAUGACUGGAAAGUAGAAUUUUAAUGUUUCGUCUGGUUCUUCAGUCUUUCUAUGGGUUCUUCAAUAUGACACAACGGGGCCACAAAAUAUAGAGAAAUUUCUAAAAUUAGGGUUUCUCCCAAAUUGGCAAAAAUUCAUUUUGUUCCUUCAUAGUUGAAAGGAUUUUUUUUAGAGGAGAACAAUUAUUUGUCAAUUAAUUCCAUUUCUUUUGUUUAUGAUGACCAAAUGUAUAUCCUUGGGCUAGACUAUUUAUUCCUAUGAUGUUUGCUGAGAAACUCUUCACUUCAUGCUCUUCUUGGGUUUUUUUUACAAUAAAAUUGAAUUGUUCCAUUGACUUAAAAUGCUUAUGAAUACACUUCAUUCGAAGACAUUUUCACCUCAUGCUUUGAACAUGGUGUCAUUACAAAAUAUCUUACUCUUACCCCUGUUUUACUAUAUACACAAGUCCAAAAAGGAGAUAAUAUGAGAUUCUAAAUUUCAAUCACUUCCAUGUUUUUCCUUGGAAACCAAUUGAAACAUGAGUAUUUCAUCUUUUUUCUUAGUUCACAAUUUAUUUAUUUUUUGGGGGGGGGGGGGUGUCAUAAAUUGUUUUAUUUUUUUGGCUUGUAGGGCUAUGGCAUGGUUGAAUAAACUGCUGUAGGCACCUGUGGUUCUAAUACUGCAAAGAUCUGUGUAAUUAUUCCCCCAGGGGACUUCAGGCUCCAAACAUGCAAGCUAAAGUGGUACAUUUGGGUUUCUGAUUCCUUGUUGCUUGCCUUCUAGAGCUGGUGAACUUUUGCUACAAAGACUUGCUAUGAAUGUUAAUAAAUUAGUUUGCUUUAAAAUUUUUAUUAAACUUGUGACAUUGGGAAGUUUUAGAUGCUUAAGAAUAAUUUUUAAUUCUACUUAAGAAUAACUUGUCUUGAUUUAUUUUCUCAAUUUACUGGCUAAUUUGUUGACAUUUCAUAGAGUAGUUUUCAUUAGGAUUUGAGCUUGUGUUGUUUUUGGCGAUGCUCUUCGGCUAUUUUCAUUAGGAAAAUAUAUUUUCUUUUCUAUUUUACAAUUUUUUAAUUUUCUUGUAUGGCCACUUUUUCUCAUCUAUGGUCAUUGAUAUUGUUUUUUUUUUCUUUUCCUUUUUGCUCAUAUGUUUGGUUAAUCAUAUUGUUGCAUCAUAUUUGUUUUCUACAAAUUGUCUCUGCAGUAGCUCACAUGGACUAGAUUUAUGUGACUGCGGGUUCAUAUAAUUGUUCCUAUAAAUUGUCUCUUUUUUUGUGUGUGUUUGUUUUUGUUGGUAAUUGAGUUUUGCAGAUUUUUGUUGGGUAGUUUGAAAUCUAAUAAUGUCUUUUUUGGUAAUUUUGCAAUUUGUUGCUUUAAUUUCUAUGUAUUUGUAGUUGAGGGGAGGUGACUAUCUUAUAUCUCUUGUAACUUUUCUGGUCAUGCAAUAUCGUUGCGUAGUCUUAGUUUCAAGGUGAAAUAUGUAAAUAUUGUAUUCAUGUGUGUGAUUACUUUUAACUGUUUCUUGAUGUAUCAGAAUUGGGUGUUAUAUAAAUGAAUGGCCCAAAUAAUUUUGUAUGAUUUCCAUUUCAGACUUAUAUUUAUACGAUCAUGCAAGAAAAAUCAUGAAAACCAUAUAUAUAGUUACCUGGUUGAAAUGAAUUCAACAGUUGUGUUAUUUAUGCAUCAAGGUAUUCAAAACUUGCUUAAAAGUUGAAUCUUAUGAAUAAUCUAACUAGUCCUUGGUGUGUGACAUAUAUAAGAGACUGGACAUAAGAGAAGCUGAGGGAGGAACCAUAAUUGGUAUUAAUCCAUCAAUGCUAGACAGUUUUGCAAAUUUCAAUGGAACGCAGAAUAUAGUGCAAAUUGGGAACAUGUGCUAUGAAGACAAUUCAUUUGAGAGAAACUAAAGACUCAUGUUAUAAGGAAGUAUAUCAAUCCAGAAUAGAAUGAAGAUUUAACACUUUCCAUUUCAGAUCCUGAUCUUCCAAUCAAGCUGCUCCUCAGGAAAUUGACGAGUAUGAACUUGUUGAUUGUGUUGAUAUAUUGACUCCUUUAGGGAAGACAGGAUUUUGGGAUGGAGUGAAAGCUGCCAAGUGGUCAAAGUGAAAGGAGGCCAUUGCUGAGCUAACUAAGCUAGCAUCCACAAAAAGGAUAGCUCCUGGUGAUUUUACAGAAAUCUAUCGAACACUUUAGAAGGUCAUUCCCCGCCCCCCACUUAAAAUUCAGUCACAUUUUCUAUAAUUUACUAUGUCCGUUUGGAUCAUUGUGUUUGCACACAGCUGACUUAUUUAUUUCUUUGUGAUAUUCAUUUUGCUCUAUUCCAUUUGCUGACUUUUUAGUUGAUAGGGUAUUAAGAUGCUGUCUGUUACAGACUUUUACAUAAUUCCUUGAUGAUGACCACUCAUUUUUUUUUUUUUUCUGUCUAGAACUUAUAAAUGCAUGAUGACAUGAAUGUGCUACAUUCUUACUACAUGUAAGAAAUACAUAGGUUUGGAAAUUGAGACCUGACUUGGUGAAUGCUUUAUCUCCAUCAUUGUUGUCAUUAUCAUUUUUUUUUCCAUUUUUUUCCUUUCCUCUUCAUAAUUUCAAGAUCCAAACUCAACUUUAAAUGGUUAAAGUAGAUUAGUUCAAUGUAUUUGUAUGUCUUGGACUUGAAUUGAGAUUAGUUCAAUGUAUUUGGUGUAGUUGAGAAUAGCUCAAACAUUAGUGGCCUGUCUUAUUGGGCAGAUUAUAGCAAAAGAUUGAAAUUCUUAAUUAUUGGGACUCACAUUCUAGUGUUUGGUCUCUUGAAGCCUCUAUCAUGUACUGCCACGUGGAAUUUAAGUGAUUUGAAAAAAAAAAAAAAA